AAACUGGAGAGUUUGAUCCUGGCUCAGAAUUAACGCUGGCGGCAUGCCUAACACAUGCAAGUCGCACGAGAAA
rnacentral:rRNA from 1 species